UACGUAGGGAGCAAGCGUUGUCCGGAUUUAUUGGGCGUAAAGCGCACGCAGGCGGUUUAGUCAGUCUCUACUGACAGUGUCCGGCUCAACCGGGCAAGUGGUAGGGAAACUGCUAAACUUGAGGGCUUCAGAGGGAUGGGGAACUCCAGGUGGAGUGGUGAAAUGCGUAGAUAUCUGGAAGAACACCAGUGGCGAAGGCGGUCAACUGGCCCGAAACUGACGCUGAGGCACGAAAGCGUGGGUAGCGAACAGG
rnacentral:rRNA from 1 species